AUACGUAGGGGGCUAGCGUUAUCCGGAAUUACUGGGCGUAAAGGGUGCGUAGGUGGUUUCUUAAGUCAGAAGUGAAAGGCUACGGCUCAACCGUAGUAAGCUUUUGAAACUAAGAGACUUGAGUGCAGGAGAGGAGAGUAGAAUUCCUGGUGUAGCGGUGAAAUGCGUAGAUAUUAGGAGGAAUACCAGUUGCGAAGGCGGCUCUCUGGACUGUAACUGACACUGAGGCACGAAAGCGUGGGGAGCAAACAGGAUUAGAUACCCUGGUAGUCCACGCCGUAAACGAUGAGUACUAGCUGUCGGGGGUUACCCCCCUCGGUGGCGCAGCUAACGCAUUAAGUACUCCGCCUGGGAAGUACGCUCGCAAGAGUGAAACUCAAAUGAAUUGGCGGGG
rnacentral:rRNA from 1 species